UCAGUCGACUCCUACGGGGAGGCAGCAGUGGGGAAUAUUGCACAAUGGGGGAAAACCCUGAUGCAGCCAUGCCGCGUGUGUGAAGAAGGACCUUCGGGUUGUAAAGCACUUUCAGUAGGGAGGAAGGUAGUGUAGUUAACACCUGCACUAUUUGACGUUACCUACAGAAGAAGCACCGGCUAACUCCGUGCCAGCAGCCGCGGUAAUACGGAGGGUGCGAGCGUUAAUCGGAAUUACUGGGCGUAAAGCGCAUGCAGGCGGCCUGUUAAGUCAGAUGUGAAAGCCCGGGGCUUAACCUCGGAAUUGCAUUUGAAACUGGCAGGCUAGAGUCUUGUAGAGGGGGGUAGGAAUUUCAGGUGUAGCGGUGAAAUGCGUAGAGAUCUGAAGGAAUACCAGUGGCGAAGGCGGCCCCCUCGGACAAAGACUGACGCUCAGAUGCGAAAGCGUGGGGAGCAAACAGGAUUAGAUACCCUGGUAG
rnacentral:rRNA from 1 species